GCGGUAAUACGUAAAAGACUAGUGUUAUUCAUCUUUAAUAGGUUUAAAGGGUACCUAGACGGAAAAUCAAGCCUUAGCGGGGACUAGUUUUCUAGAGUUUAAUAGGAGAAAGUCGAAUUACUGGAGAAGAGUCAAAAUAUCAUUAUACUAGUAGGACGGACAACGGCGAAGGCUACUUUCUAUGUAAAAACUGACGUUGAGGGACGAAGCCUUGGGUAGCAAUAAGGAUUUGAUACCCUAGUAGUCCUUGGAGACAAUUAUGAGUGUCAUAUGUUAAAAUAAUUAACCUAUAAAUGAAAGUGUAAGCACUCCACCUCAUGAGUAAAGCGGCAACGCCGAAAUUGAAAUCAUUAGACCGUAUCUGAAACCAGUAGUGAAGUAUGUUAUUUAAUUCGAUAAUCCGCGAAUAACCUUACCACGCCUUGUAUAAUAUUUAUUUAUUACAAGCGCUGCACGGCUGUCUUCAGUUAAUGUCGUGAGAUCCUGGUUAGUUCCUUCAAUUAACGAAAACCCUUGUUUUA
rnacentral:rRNA from 1 species